rnacentral:lncRNA from 1 species
CUUGGCUUCGGGGAGUACAUUCAGCUUGUGUGUCAUCACCGUGGGGUCAAUUCCAGGCAUGUCGGAGGGCUUCCAGGCGAAACUAGACGCAUGACCUCGGAUCAGGGCCAUGACUUCAGCUUUUUGUUCUUUAGUGAGGCCGGCGUUGAGACUAAAGACCUUUUCUACCUCUGCUUCUGAUAAAGGGAAGGUCUCCAGCU